rnacentral:rRNA from 1 species
GGGGUAACCUGCGGAGGGAUCAUUACACAAAUAUGAAGGCGGGCUGGAACCUCUCGGGGUUACAGCCUUGCUGAAUUAUUCACCCUUGUCUUUUGCGUACUUCUUGUUUCCUUGGUGGGUUCGCCCACCACUAGGACAAACAUAAACCUUUUGUAAUUGCAAUCAGCGUCAGUAACAAAUUAAUAAUUACAACUUUCAACAACGGAUCUCUUGGUUCUGGCAUCGAUGAAGAACGCAGCGAAAUGCGAUAAGUAGUGUGAAUUGCAGAAUUCAGUGAAUCAUCGAAUCUUUGAACGCACAUUGCGCCCUUUGGUAUUCCAAAGGGCAUGCCUGUUCGAGCGUCAUUUGUACCCUCAAGCUUUGCUUGGUGUUGGGCGUCUUGUCUCUAGCUUUGCUGGAGACUCGCCUUAAAGUAAUUGGCAGCCGGCCUACUGGUUUCGGAGCGCAGCACAAGUCGCACUCUCUAUCAGCAAAGGUCUAGCAUCCAUUAAGCCUUUUUUCAACUUUGACCUCGGAUCAGUAAGGUUCCCCCGUUCCC